rnacentral:rRNA from 1 species
GGUGCCAGCAGCCGCGGUAAUUCCAGCUCCAAUAGCGUAUAUUUAAGUUGUUGCAGUUAAAAAGCUCGUAGUUGGAUUUCGGACGGGGACGACCGGUCCGCCGAACGGUGUGCACUGGUCGGUCCCGUCUUCCUGCCGAGGACGCGCGUCCUUCCUUCGUUGGAGGGGCCGCGGAGUCGGCGCAGUUACUUUGAAAAAAUUAGAGUGUUCAAAGCAAGCUUCACGCUGUGAAUACUAUAGCAUGGAAUAACGCGAUAGGACUCCGUGCCUAUUGUGUGGGUCUUCGGGACCGGAGUAAUGAUUAAUAGGGACAGUUGGGGGCAUUCGUAUUUCAUUGUCAGAGGUGAAAUUCUUGGAUUUAUGAAAGACGAACUUCUGCGAAAGCAUUUGCCAAGGAUGUUUUCAUUAAUCAAGAACGAAAGUUGGGGGCUCGAAGAUGAUUAGAUACCAUCCUAGUCUCAACCAUAAACGAUGCCGACUAGGGAUUGGCGGAUGUUCGUUCGAUGACUCCGCCAGCACCUUAUG